AUUGAACGCUGGCGGCAGGCCUAACACAUGCAAGUCGAACGAGCGGCGGACGGGUGAGUAAUGUCUGGGAACCUGCCUGAUGGAGGGGGAUAACUACGGGAAACGGUAGCUAAUACCGCUUACCAUCAGAUGGGCCCAGGUGGGAUUAGCUAGUGGGUGGGGUAAAGGCUCACCAAGGCGACGAUCCCUAGCUGGUCUGAGAGGAUGACCAGCCACACUGGGACUGAGACACGGCCCAGACUCCUACGGGAGGCAGCAGUGGGGAAUAUUGCGCAAUGGGCGCAAGCCUGACGCAGCCAUGCCGCGUGUAUGAAGAAGGCCUUCGGGUUGUAAAGUACUUUCGGUAGGGAGGCGUUACCUGCAGAAGAAGCACCGGCUAACUCCGUGCCAGCAGCCGCGGUAAUUC
rnacentral:rRNA from 1 species